UACGUAGGGUCCGAGCGUUGUCCGGAAUUACUGGGCGUAAAGAGCUCGUAGGUGGUUUGUCGCGUUGUUCGUGAAAACUCACAGCUUAACUGUGGGCGUGCGGGCGAUACGGGCAGACUGGAGUACUGCAGGGGAGACUGGAAUUCCUGGUGUAGCGGUGGAAUGCGCAGAUAUCAGGAGGAACACCGAUGGCGAAGGCGGGUCUCUGGGCAGUAACUGACGCUGAGGAGCGAAAGCGUGGGGAGCGAACAGG
rnacentral:rRNA from 1 species